rnacentral:tRNA from 1 species
GUGCCUGUGGCUCAAAAGGGUGGGGCACCAGCCCCAUAUGCUGGAAGUGGCAGGUUCAAACCCAGCCCAGGCCA